rnacentral:rRNA from 2 species
UAUUGUGGCCAUGCCACUCUGAACACGCCGGAUCUCGUCGGAUCUCGGAACCUAAGCAGGGUCGUUCCUAGUUAGUACUUGGAUGGGAGAAUACCAGGUACAGAAUACCAGGUACUACAAAAA